GCAAUAUGCAAUACUGACACUGUUUCGUUCUCCUUUGCAGUACUUGACAUUCCUGUUUUAUUAUUUAGUUCAAAUCUGCCUUUUUUGAUACAAUAUUUGGUCACUCCUAUCUGAAAUCUGAACUUUACUAUCAAUUGAUGGAGCAUUGGAUACCUGACCACAUGCUGUACCUUUUGUAGGAACUAGGAAGAGGAGCAUUAUGCUUUCUGUGAGCAUUUCAAGGCAGCGCCAGGACAUCAUGGAAAGCGUAGAGGGAUGGCAUUCUACUUGCCAUAAUGUUUUUUUUUUCUUCAAAUUUUUUUCUCGAUGCAUUGAAAACACUUCUUUCCCUAUUGAAUGGGUGGGCGAAAAAGAGUGUCUGGCACUCUCCAUUGAGAUAUACUGUGGGAGGAUGAUCUCGAUCAUGUAAUAUGUGAUUAUUUGAACCGAGAGUUUAGAAGUAUUGAUAAGAUUGUACAUUGACAAGCUAUUAGUGUUGGUAUUUUUGGUGUGCAAAAUUCACUUGAGUUG